CCUACGGGAGGCAGCAGUGGGGAAUAUUGGGCAAUGGAGGCAACUCUUACCCAGCAAUGCCGCGUGAAUGCAGACGGUCUUCGGAUUGUAAAGUUCUUUAAUUGGGGACGAAAAAAAUGACGGUACCCAAGGAAUAAGCUCCGGCUAACUACGUACUAGCAGCCGCGGUAAUACGGAGGAUGCGAGCGUUAUCCGGCUAUAUUGGGUUUAAAGGUGGGUUAGGCGGUCCGGUAAGUCAGCGGUAAAAUUGCGGGGCUAAACCCGGUCGAGCCUUUGAAACUGGCAGACUUGAGUUGGCGAGAAGUACGCGGAAUGCGCGGUGUAGCAGUGAAAUGCAUAGAUAGCGCGCAGAACUCCGAUUGCGAAGGCAGCGUACCGGCGCCAGACUGACGCUGAGGCACGAAAGCGUGGGGAUCGAACAGGAUUAGAUACCCUUGUAGUC
rnacentral:rRNA from 1 species